AGGUUUAAAUAUUUCCUUAUGUAGGUCUAGUGACGUUUCUACUUAGCCUGAAAAGAGACCCCAAAGUACAGAAAAUAUAUUACUUAGUAUAUGCCAGACUACUAAGUCCCGUGAUAUCCAUUUGCUUUAAGCAGUGAAAUUAAUGUGUCGUGCAAGAGGCAGAAUAUGUAACACUUUCCAGGGUACCUGGUGUUACUUCCAGUUUAAUAGAUCCAGAUCAUUCAUUGCUUAACAUCGUGUACCUUACCCGGGCUCAAUACUUUCAAAAUAUUUCCUGUUAUUCACACCUGACAAAUACCCUAUAUGAUAUGUAAGCGAAAAUAUAUUCUCCGUGAAUUAAUACAUCUGCGAAUAGGUGCAUGGAUUAGUCGGACUACUGCAAUCAGAGAAUUGAUCCCACCAGUUUAAUGAAAUAUCGCAUGCAAGUAAUUUGAAAUCGUUUGAAAUAUAGAUAAUAUCAAACGUCGAAAUAAAAGCAUGGCGGAAAAUAUUGAGAAGGGAAAGAAAACAGUCGAUACGCAAAACCGAGGUCGCAUGAACGACGUCGAUUAUAAAGUUAUUCAGAGUAAUAUGUGGUAUCUUUGUAAGCAGGUAAGAGGAGACGACAUCAUAACUAAUAUGUUCUCAAAGCAUAUUUUGGACAAUGAUGAUAUGGAGAACAUUAAAAAAGAGCAGGAGAAGAGUCAGCGCAAAGGGAUAGAGACGGCAUUAACUUGUGUGAUGAACAGCGGUGGCGUCGACGGAUUUGGUGUCUUUAUCGGUUGCUUACAUGAUUGCGGCUUUGGACAUGUGGCAGAUCACUUAGAACGUUAUCGACAAGAAAAUACUAUAUGUCAGGAGUCCCCUACCACAACCGCUUCAGAUGGUGACACCACAAGGAUCAAAUUACAAAAAUAACUGUGCGUAUAUUAAAAGAAUUUGUUACAAAUGGCUUCUAAAAUACAUUAGUAAACAUC